rnacentral:rRNA from 1 species
UACGUAGGGGGCAAGCGUUGUCCGGAUUUAUUGGGCGUAAAGAGCGUGUAGGCGGUUCGGUAGGUCCGUUGUGAAAACUCGAGGCUCAACCUCGAGACGCCGAUGGAAACCCCCGAACUAGAGUCCGGAAGAGGAGAGUGGAAUUCCCGGUGUAGCGGUGAAAUGCGCAGAUAUCGGGAAGAACACCCGUGGCUAAGGCGGUUCUCUAGUACGGUACUGACGCUGAGACGCGAAAGCGUGGGGAGCGAACAGG